UUCCUCAUAGUUCAGUGGAUAGAACACGGGUUUCCGGAACCCACAACGUAGGUUCGAUUCCUACUGAGGGCG
rnacentral:tRNA from 1 species